GAUGCCUUUUGAAUUAUCUAAUAAAGGAUUCAAGACCAUGUUCAGGUCACCUCCUAUCAAAAUUAGGCCUUCAGCAAAGGCUUCUAAAGUCCGUAGCAAUUUGAGUAAAUAAUCAGCCUGGUGUGUAUUAGGAAGGUAGACACUUCCUAACGUGCAUUUGGUAUUGAAUAAAGUGCCCUUAGUAAAUACAUACCGACCUUCCUCAUCUUUAAUAGUAGCAGAACUAUGGUAGGUAAUAUGCUUAUGUAUGCCAAUCGCCACACCUUUAGUUUUAGUAUCGGGAUUGUUGCUUAAAAACCAUUGUGAGUAAUUACUAAAUUUCUCUAGUACAUUAUCUUGUCCUCUAAGAUGGGUUUCUUGUAACAUUAAUAUGUGUGCUUUUUGCUUAUACAUUUCCCUAAACAGUUUACUCCUUUUUUCAGGAAUGUUCAGCCCAUUGAUAUUCAAGGAUAUUACAUUAACUUCAGCCAUUGUUAAUCAGGUGUGGAUACGUCAGUCCAGCUUUCCUUAUCGGGCAAUUCCGGGAUAGCAGGAGCCAAUAACUUACAGAUUCGCUGUCGGACUCAUCAGCGGGACUUCUAGCACGCCGUGGCGCCAUCUUGGAUCCCUGACGACACUGUUCAGAGUCUGUCGAUGUGAAGAACUGCU